UAUCCUACGGGGGGCAGCAGUGGGGAAUAUUGCACAAUGGGGGAAACCCUGAUGCAGCAACGCCGCGUGAGUGAAGAAGUAUUUCGGUAUGUAAAACUCUAUCAGCAGGGAAGAGAAUGACGGUACCUGACUAAGAAGCCCCGGCUAACUACGUGCCAGCAGCCGCGGUAAUACGUAGGGGGCAAGCGUUAUCCGGAUUUACUGGGUGUAAAGGGUGCGUAGGCGGCCUGCUAAGUCUGGAGUGAAAGGUACCGGCUCAACCGGUACAGGCUCUGGAAACUGGCGGGCUA
rnacentral:rRNA from 1 species